rnacentral:rRNA from 1 species
CCUACGUGUGGCAGCAGUGGGGAAUAUUGGACAAUGGGCGAAAGCCUGAUCCAGCCAUGCCGCGUGUGUGAAGAAGGCCUUCGGGUUGUAAAGCGCUUUCAGUGGGGAAGAAAGCCUUGGGGCUAAUACCCUCGAGGAAGGACAUCACCCACAGAAGAAGCACCGGCUAACUCCGUGCCAGCAGCCGCGGUAAUACGGAGGGUGCGAGCGUUAAUCGGAAUUACUGGGCGUAAAGCGCGCGUAGGCGGUCUGAUAAGCCGGUUGUGAAAGCCCCGGGCUCAACCUGGGAACGGCAUCCGGAACUGUCAGGCUAGAGUGCAGGAGAGGAAGGUAGAAUUCCCGGUGUAGCGGUGAAAUGCGUAGAGAUCGGGAGGAAUACCAGUGGCGAAGGCGGCCUUCUGGACUGACACUGACGCUGAGGUGCGAAAGCGUGGGUAGCAAACAGGAUUAGAUACCCGAGUAGUC